UACAGAGGGUGCGAACGUUGCUCGGAAUUACUGGGCGUAAAGCGCGUGUAGGCGGAUCCAUAAGUCGGGCGUGAAAUCCCCGGGCUCAACCCGGGAACUGCGUUCGAAACUGUGGGUCUUGAGUGUCGGAGGGGAUGGCGGAAUUCCUGGUGUAGAGGUGAAAUUCGUAGAUAUCAGGAGGAACACCGGUGGCGAAGGCGGCCAUCUGGACGACAACUGACGCUGAGACGCGAAAGCGUGGGGAGCAAACAGG
rnacentral:rRNA from 1 species